rnacentral:tRNA from 1 species
UCCCAAGUGGUCUAGUGGUUAGGAUUCCACGCUCUCACCGUGGCGGCCGGGGUUCGAUUCCCCGCUUGGGAC